rnacentral:rRNA from 1 species
ACUCCUACGGGAGGCAGCAGUGGGGAAUAUUGGACAAUGGGGGCAACCCUGAUCCAGCCAUGCCGCGUGAGUGAAGAAGGCCCUAGGGUCGUAAAGCUCUUUCAACUGUGAAGAUAAUGACGGUAGCAGUAGAAGAAGCACCGGCUAACUCCGUGCCAGCAGCCGCGGUAAUACGGAGGGUGCGAGCGUUAAUCGGAAUUACUGGGCGUAAAGCGCAUGCAGGUGGUUUGUUAAGUCAGAUGUGAAAGCCCGGGGCUCAACCUCGGAACUGCAUUUGAAACUGGCAGACUAGAGUACUGUAGAGGGGGGUAGAAUUUCAGGUGUAGCGGUGAAAUGCGUAGAGAUCUGAAGGAAUACCGGUGGCGAAGGCGGCCCCUGGACAGAUACUGACACUCAGAUGCGAAAGCGUGGGAGCAAACAGGAUUAGAUACCCUGGUAGGUGA